UGGUAGUUUAUGAUGGACUAGUUGGAGCACCCCUCUAGGGUUAAAUCUUUUGGAAAGUCGUGCCCGCGGUUAUGUGGCAACGUGGAAACUUUGUUUAACAUCCGGUUCUAGAUAACUUGAAGUUAAAUUAAUUAAAACAUGCCAACUGAGUGUGUAACCGUGACUGUCUCCUUCAUGAGCUCCUUCUCCGAUCGAGGACACGGUGGGGUUAUGUCUGACGUAAGUAGGUGUUCAGGACCAUUCAUUUGAUCAUCAGUAGUUCAUGUCCGCUCUGCGUAGAUCGUCCCCCUCUUAUUCUUAUACUUGUAAGUUAGCCACCUCAAAUAACUGCUUAAUCGCUUGCUGCAGCCUCACCACUUAACCAUACCUCACCCAUUAAGCUUUACUAGUCUUGAUACGUUUGGAAAUGAGAUUGUUGAGUCCCUGUGGCUCACAGAUUACUACAACACCAGUUACAGGUACGGGUAAAGAGUUACUAUGACGUGAGCGCGUUGAUUAUUCAUUUGGAGUUUCUUCUUCUUCAUCAUCGAUCUAGGAUGGGUUCUAGGUCGGCAGCCUGGGAUAGUAAGGAUGGACGUCGUUCUUUUGU
rnacentral:lncRNA from 1 species